rnacentral:rRNA from 1 species
CCUACGGGAGGCAGCAGUGAGGAAUUUUCCGCAAUGGGCGAAAGCCUGACGGAGCAAUACCGCGUGAGGGAUGAAGGAUUUUGGUCUGUAAACCUCUUUUCUCAAGAAAGAAGUUCUGACGGUACUUGAGGAAUAAGCAUCGGCUAACUCCGUGCCAGCAGCCGCGGUAAUACGGGGGAUGCAAGCGUUAUCCGGAAUGAUUGGGCGUAAAGCGCCUGUAGGUUGUUUAUUAAGUCCGUUGUUAAAGCCUAGGGCUCAACCCUAGAAAAGCAAUGGAAACUAGUAGACUAGAGUAUGGCAGGGGUAGAGGGAAUUUCUAGUGUAGCGGUGAAAUGCGUAGAUAUUAGAAAGAACACCGGUGGCGAAAGCGCUCUACUGGACCAUUACUGACACUCAGAGGCGAAAGCUAGGGUAGCAAAGGGAUUAGAUACCCCUGUAGUCCUAGCCGUAAACGAUGGAUACUAGAUGUUGUGCAUUAUGUACAGUAUCGUAGCUAACGCGUUAAGUAUCCCGCCUGGGGAGUACGCUCGCAAGGGUGAAACUCAAAUGAAUUGACGG